rnacentral:lncRNA from 1 species
CUGCUCUCCAUGGAAGGCGAGCUCAGGCCUGACACCUUUCACUCCACUUCCACCCAUUGUCCCCUGAGAACCUGUGGUGGCCUCCUGGUCUCAGGAUGCUCUCUGCUAACUCCUUUUCCUGCCAGGCCUGCCCACAUUCCUUCCAACCACAAUGCUGGGCUCACCUCCUCCAAGUGGCUGUACCUCUCUGUUCUCUCCUGCCACACAGGGGAUUUGUCCAGGCUUGUUCUUCUGUGAAACCUUCCUCCUUCCCUGAGAAGCACACCCAACUUGCCACACAGAAAGCAGAUUUCACCAUCGUUUCCUGGAUGGGAAUCUGGAGCUCCCAGCAUUUCUGAGGGGUUUGGUAUCGUCUAGUCCCAACACAAUGGCUCUGCACAAGGGCACCGUUCCCCUGCCUUUUAAAUCUCUGGCUUAAUGGUGCUUUGACCAGCCAUGCUACAGACUGUUCAUAGCCAAGACAAAGUGGCCACAUCCUUGCUCUCUUGUCCCGUCAAAAGAAGCCACUUUCUUUCUGUAAGCAAGACUCCCUUCUGUCACUGUGCCCAGAGGGUGGGGUGGGGUGGGGUGAGG